rnacentral:rRNA from 1 species
CGUUGUUUCUUGGAUCUACUCUCUACUUGGAUAACUGUGGUAAUUCUAGAGCUAAUACAUGCAUGAAGACCCGACGCAAGGACGGUCGCAUUUAUUACAACAAAACCAUCCGGUCCUCGGACCGUUCUCUGGUGACUCUGAAUAACUGAGCAAAUCGCACGGUCUCGCACCGGCGAUGUGUCUUUCAAGUGUCUGCCUUAUCAACUUUCGAUGGUAGUUUAUGUGCCUACCAUGGUUGUCACGGGUAACGGAGAAUCAGGGUUUGACUCCGGAGAGGGAGCCUGAGAAACGGCUACCACUUCUAAGGAAGGCAGCAGGCGCGCAAAUUACCCAUUCUCGGUACGAGGAGGUAGUGACGAAAAAUACCAAGCCGGGGCUCUUAUGAGUUUCGGCAUUGGAAUGAGAACAAUCCAAAUCUUUUAACGAGGAACUAGUGGAGGGCAAGUCUGGUGCCAGCAGCCGCGGUAAUUCCAGCUCCGCAAGUGUAUGUCUAUAUUGCUGAGGUUAAAAAGCUCGUAGUUGGAUCUGCGUGUCUAGCACCCGGUGCGGUCGUUGAUCGUUACUGGGCUGCGACACAUUGACUGUCGGACGGCCGUCGAUGCUCUUCACCGGGUGUCGGCGGUGUCUGACGAGUUUACUUUGAACAAACUAGAGUGCUCAACACAGGCGUUUCGCUUGUAUAUUUCUGCAUGGAAUAAUAGAAUAGGACCUUGGUUCUAUUUUGUUGGUUUUCGCGACUGAGGUAAUGAUUAAGAGGGACUGACGGGGGCAUUCGUACUGCGACGUGAGAGGUGAAAUUCUUGGAUCGUCGCAUGACGCACUACUGCGAAGGCAUUUGCCAAGAAUGUCUUCAUUAAUCAAGAACGAAAGUAACGGGUUCGAA